GGACGAACGCUGGCGGCGUGGAUUAGUCAUGCAAGCCGAACGGUAUGGUGCUUUCGGGCAUCAGAGAGUGGCGAACGGGUGAGUAACACGUAGGUAAUCUACCCUCAAGACGGGGACAACCCAGGGAAACUUGGGCUAAUACCGGAUGAUAGCAGCAGCGAUGUUGUUUAAAAGAUGGCUUUCGGGCUGUCGUUUGGGGAUGAGCCUGCGUCCUAUUAGCUAGUUGGUGUGGUAAAGGCACACCAAGGCGAUGAUAGGUAGGCGGCCUUAACGGGUGGUCGCCCACACUGGGACUGAGAUACGGCCCAGACUCCUACGGGAGGCAGCAGUCGAGAAUAGUCUACAAUGGUCGGAAGACUGAUAGUGCGACGCCGUGUGAACGAGGAAGCCCUUUGGGGUGUAAAGUUCUUUUAUAUGUGAGCAGUGGGUUCUACGUUAAUAGCGUGGGGUCAGGGAUAUUAGCAUAUGAAUAAGCAACGGCUAACUCCGUGCCAGCAGCCGCGGUAACACGGGGGUUGCGAGCGUUGUCUGGAAUUACUAGGCGUAAAGGGCAGGUAGGCGGAUCUAUAAGUUUUUUGUCAAAUUCAACGGCUCACCCGUUGCGCGGCAGGAGAUACUGUAGAUCUGGAAUGCGGUUGGGGAAGACAGAAUUCCUGGUGUAGCGGUGGAAUGCGCAGAGAUCAGGAGGAAUACCUAAGGCGAAGGCAGUCUUCUAAGCCGUAAUUGACGCUAAACUGCGAAGGUGUGGGUAUCAAACAGGAUUAGAUAUCCUGGUAGUCCACACAGUAAACGAUAAUCACUGGGUGUCGGGUUCGUAGAGGAUUCGGUGCCGUAGCUAACGCGAUAAGUGAUUCGCCUGGGGAGUACGAUCGCAAGGUUG
rnacentral:rRNA from 1 species